rnacentral:rRNA from 1 species
UACGGGGGGGGCAAGCGUUGUUCGGAAUUACUGGGCGUAAAGGGCUCGUAGGCGGCCAACUAAGUCAGACGUGAAAUCCCUCGGCUUACCCGGGGAAUUGCGCGUUAUACUGCGUGACUUGAGGAUUUCAGGGGAAUGGGGAACUCCAGGUGUAGCGGUGAAAUGCGCAGAUAUCUGGGGGAAGGCCGGCGGCGAAGGCGCCAUUCUGGGAAAUUCCUGACACUGAGGCACGAAAGCGUGGGGAGCAAACAGG